GACGAACGCUGGCGGCGUGCUUAACACAUGCAAGUCGAACGGUGAACGAGGGAGCUUGCUCCCUCCGGAUCAGUGGCGAACGGGUGAGUAACACGUGAGCAAUCUGCCCCGAACUCUGGGAUAAGCGUUGGAAACGACGUCUAAUACCGGAUACGACGCGGGAGGGCAUCCUCUCCGCGUGGAAAGAACUUCGGUUCGGGAUGAGCUCGCGGCCUAUCAGCUUGUUGGUGAGGUAACGGCUCACCAAGGCGACGACGGGUAGCCGGCCUGAGAGGGUGACCGGCCACACUGGGACUGAGACACGGCCCAGACUCCUACGGGAGGCAGCAGUGGGGAAUAUUGCACAAUGGGCGCAAGCCUGAUGCAGCAACGCCGCGUGAGGGAAGACGGCCUUCGGGUUGUAAACCUCUUUUAGCAGGGAAGAAGCGAAAGUGACGGUACCUGCAGAAAAAGCACCGGCUAACUACGUG
rnacentral:rRNA from 1 species